rnacentral:misc_RNA from 1 species
AAGUCGUAACAAGGUUUCCGUAGGUGAACCUGCGGAAGGAUCAUUAACACGUAUCCAACGUUAAACAACCCUGUGAACUUUAAGUCCCCUCUUGCAGCCCAUGAGGAACAGCAAUCCCGGUAAAUCAUUGCCAAACAGUUUUGAUUCGGGACCUCUGUCCAAAAGGAGGAGCAAUCGAAGGGUGGAAGCAGUGGCAUGGCUUCCCCAAGCAGUUAGUGAAUGGUCGAUCACGACCGGCAGACAUGUCACAGGGUCACCACGCCCCUUAAUCACUCCACUUGAAAAUGCCCCGCCUAGUGGUAACGCGCUAGGUAAAAAAAACCGAACAACUGUUAACAAUGGAUAUCUUGGUUCUC